UCCGUAGUCCAACCUCCUGGUUUGUUGGUGACAGAUGAACACGAACGCCUUAGCCUACACAAGACCGUCUGGGCGUUUCUUCUCGAGAGGAUAAUCAUGAGUGUAUUGCUGAUUCUGUGGAUUGCAUCUUUGGUUAUUUCCACUGAAGGCGAACAGUGCAAGAACAACCAGCACUGUUCAGACUGUAACAAAACCAGUGGACAUUGCCUCACAGACUGUGACACCGGGUAUUUUGAUCGGACAUGCACGUCAGCGUGCAGCAGGACCUGCAGAAACCACUCAUGUCGGUUGUCAGCCUCUGGUAUAGGUGAUUGUACUGAUGGGUGUGUCCCCGGAUAUCACGGCCCAGAGUGCAACAUACCAUGUGACAGUCCAGGAGGUAGCUGUACAGCAUGUCCAGGUGGUUGUGAUGUUGGAUAUUGUCAGCUGGGCUCAUCCUGUGUGUCUGGA